GGGCUUGUAGCACAGUGGUAGCGUACGUUUCAUCCAAUUCGCUUCGCAUUUCCGUCCACAUACUAAUAUUAUCUAGGCGCACGCUUUGCAUGACCGCUGGGUCGACAGUUCUGCGUGAGGUCUAGGGUUCGAUCCCCUACUGGUCCA
rnacentral:tRNA from 1 species